AAACUGUGAAGUAAAAUAUGUUUUCAACAACAAAGUAAUUUGAAGAUGUUCUUUACCACUAGAGUGGAUGAUGCAUUUGCAUAUAUGCAAAUAGAAACCACAGGUGAGAAUCUUCCCAACAGAGAAACACUGUGCACACAUGGGUUUGUUUUUUUCUUUUUCUCUUUUUUAUUUGGUAUUUUAGUUAUUUACAUUUCAAAUGUUAUACCCUUUCCUGGUUUUCCCUCUGGAAACCUCAUCUCAUCCUCCUUCCCCUGCUUCUAUGAGAGCACUUACCCACCCACCCACUCCCACCUCCCUGCCCUGGCAUUUCCCUACACUGGAGCAUCGAACCUUCCCAGGACUAAGGGCCUCUUCUCCCAUUAAUGUCCAACAAGGCCAUUUUCUGAUACAUAUGCAGCUGGAGACAUGGGUUUCUCCAUGUGUACUCUUUGAUUGGUGGUUUAGUCGCUGAGAACUUUUGUGUGUGGGUGGUCUGUUUGAUAUUCUUGUUCCUAUGGGUUACAAACCCCUUCAGCUCCUUCAGUCCUUUCUUUAACUCCUCCAUUGGGGACCCCAUGCUCAGUGCAAUGGUUGUCUGCGAGCAUUUGCCUCUGUAUAUGUCAGACUCUGGCAAAGCCUCUCAGGAGACACCUACAUCAGGCUCCUGUCAGCAAGUACUCUUGGCAUCCAUAAUAAUAUCUAGGUUUGGUGUCUGUAUAUGGGAUGGAUCUCCAGGUGGGGCAGCCUUUGGAUGGCCUCUCCUUCAGUCCCUGCUCCACACUUUGUCUUUGUAUUUACUCCCCUGAGUAUUUGUCCCCCCCCCUUCUAAAAAGAACUGAAGCUGCUAUGUUUGUGUUCAUAGCAGUCUUAUUUAUAAUAGCCAGAAGCUGGAAAGAACCCAGAUGUCCUUCAACGGGGGAAUGGAUGCAGAAAAUGUGGUACAUUUACAUAAUGGAGUACCACUCAGCUAUUAAAAACAACAACUUCAUAAAAUUCUUAGGCAAAUGGAUGGAACUAGAAAAUAUCAUCCUGAAUGAGGUAACCCAGUCACAAAAGAACACACAAGGUAUACACUUACUGGUAAGUGGAUAUUAGCCCCAAAUCAUGGAAUACCCAAGAAACAAUUCACAGACCACAUGAAGCUCAAGAAGAAGGGUUUGUUAUUUUCAUUUUUCUCUUCUCUGAAUGAGAUGAGAGAGAAUGGAUUUUUAUUGAAAUAAAUCACCAGGUUCCAAAAGCAGCCAGGGGAAGGUAUAAGAAAAAUUAAUUAAGUAAAAUAGUUGCUAUGUCAGAUUCCUUAAUUAUCAACUUGCUGCAUCGGCAAGUUCUCUAUGACACCACUGUAAGUCAGAGAUUAUAGUCCUAUGUUUUUGUCUUUUCUUGUCAAACGAGAGAACUCAGCCCUGUUAUAUAUGUGAUAGAUUAUAUGCACAUGUAGAUUACACACACACACACACACACACACACACACACACACACACACACAUAGGUAUAGGUAAAUUGAAACUGCUCAAAGGCACUUUCAGAUUGCAAGAGUGUUGGGCUAGGACACCUAGAUCAGAAGUUUCUAAGUGGCCCCCGAGAGAAGAUCAUUGUGCUUUGCUGGCCCAGUAUUUGUUCUGUUCCCUAUUGUGUUUGCAGAGGUGCCCAGUGGCAGCAGACUUUGUAAAGAACAGCUGCUGGAUGAAGCAAUUAUUCCUGGAACUUCCAAGUCGUAACCUCAGAUCCACAGGACCUGAAAAUCUGCCAUGGAUACACCGGGCCAGCAGUGAUGAAGGUCUCCAUAUUCCUAUAGGCAAAACCCUCUGCCUUGGUCCACCUGGAAGUACAGCCUGUCUGUCAGCUCAACCCACCAUGCUACAUCUUCAAGCAUCCCAGCUUUCCUAAGCCAAAGAAUUACCAAGAACAUAUUGGUAUCAGCAUACAGAGGUGUGUUGGUAUGAAUGUGUCCUAGAAAUGGAGGAAACCCACAAAGGAGGAACGGGAUGGCACGUGUGCACGCUACUGCAGGAGGUGAGAGUUCAUCUCAGCAUGCAAGAUCCUCCUGGAGCCCUGCUGCACUUGGAAUCUCCUGCA